GUCCCAGAAAGCAACAAUUCAAAACAAUAUGGCUGCAAACUUUCUUGGAGCUCUUUCGAAACCGAUGUUUUCCGUUUGACCAUUAGUUAAUACUGUAAAGAUAGCGACUAUCACCCCUCAAUUAGGGGCGUGCUGUGUAGCUGGAGAGAUGGGAGCUAAUGCAUCCCAGUUGGAGAAAGAAAUCGGAUCUGAGCAGUUUCCAGCUAAUGAACACUAUUUUGGGCUUGUUAAUUUUGGCAACACAUGCUAUUGCAACUCAGUACUUCAGGCAUUGUACUUUUGUCGUGGCUUUCGUGAGAAGGUCCUACAGUACAAGCAGCAGCAGAAAAAUCAGAAGAAAGAGUCACUUCUUACUUGCCUUGCAGACCUCUUUUACAGCAUUGCUACUCAGAAAAAGAAAGUUGGUACAAUUGCCCCCAAAAAGUUUAUUACUCGCCUUCGAAAAGAAAAUGAGCUGUUUGACAAUUACAUGCAGCAAGAUGCCCAUGAAUUUCUCAACUACUUGCUGAACACUGUUGCUGACCUCCUUCAAGCGGAAAAAAAAAGUAGCAGCAAGGCAGCAGCAACAGCAGAUAACCCUACUGUCAAACCUGACCCAACCUGGGUGCAUGAGAUAUUUCAAGGAACACUUACAAAUGAGACUCGAUGUUUGAACUGUGAAACGGUCAGUAGUAAGGAUGAAGACUUUCUUGAUCUCUCAGUGGAUGUGGAGCAAAAUACCUCUAUAACGAGUUGCCUGCGUGGGUUUAGUAACACAGAAACACUGUGUGCAGAGCACAAAUACUACUGUGAGGUGUGCUGUUCAAAACAGGAAGCACAGAAACGGAUGAGAGUGAAAAAACUGCCACAGAUUCUUGCUUUGCAUUUAAAGAGGUUCAAGUACAUGGAACAUUUAAACAGAUACAUCAAGGUGUCUUACAGAGUGGUCUUUCCUUUGGAGCUCAGAUUAUUUAACACAUCUGAUGAUGCAUUCAAUCCGGAGCGACUUUAUGAUCUGGUGGCUGUGGUGGUCCACUGUGGUUCAGGUCCUAACAGAGGCCAUUAUAUCAGCAUUGUGAAGAGUCAUGGCUUUUGGCUUCUUUUUGAUGAUGAUAUUGUAGAUAAAAUUGAUGCCAGUCAAAUUGAGGAGUUUUAUGGCAUUCCCUCAGACAUGCAGAAGAACUCUGAAUCAGGCUACAUUUUAUUCUACCAGUCACGUGAGUGAGGCAGGCUUUGUUUGAGAAGUGGAUGCUUAAAAUGGGGACAUCAAAGUGCUGUUUCCUCUAAACCAUCUAUUGCUGAAUCUCUCUCUCCAUUUCCCAAGCGCGAUCUGCAGAUAGAGCCAUUGCUAUUGCCUCUUUCCAAAAUAAUUAUGAGAAUUCCAUGGCCAUUCACUCUAGACUAGAGACUACAUCCUCUUACUGCCUUAAGAUAAUCUCAAUUGAAGAUUGUUACUAGUCUUAAAAGGAUAUUUCAAUAACAUUUGUUUAUUGUUCAUUACAGGCCACACCUAAUCUUAAUAUAAAUGAUCAGGCUACUUUAAAGCUGGGUUAUGUCACCCUUCUUACUUCUUAUGUCUUAGGUCAUUGUUAGUAGGGAAUAUAGAUAGAAACAUCAGAGUAUGCACAAAUCAAAGACUGCCCUGUUCAAGGUAUAUACAGACAGAGAUUGCACAUAUGCAUAGUUUCAUGUUUUUCAUACUUCAGUGCUAUUUUUCCAGCAGCAGAUCUUGUAGUCUGCCGAAGAGCAUCUGUUUAUAUUUUUGAGUAAAAAUAAUCUCAGACUGAUCACAUUUAGUAGUCAAGUCUUUUGGGGCUUUUGUUCUUAUUGAGAGAAGCUGACCAUUUUAGAGAGUGUGCAAAAAAGGAAAUAGACGAAAGCUUAUUUCAGAUGUUAAAGACUUUUUGCUUGACAAAGGGAGAAGAUUUUCAUCUAUUUCUUUGUGCUUUGCUGAAAAAGAAGAUAGAGUUAAAGGCUAUUACUUGAUAAACCACAGAAUGCAGUUUUUUUUUAAUGUAACAAGAAAUUUGUUAUUUUUGCUUUUGAGUUAAAGCUAUACCCAUAUACCCACAGCCCUCUACAUCCAGCAUAAGAUGUGCUUAGCAUUGUAUUGCAGAAUGAGUUUGUGACCAAAAGCAUUUCCUAUUUUUCCAUGUUUCAUGUCUGUAGUAUUUGUGUAAAAAAUAUAAUAGUCAUUAGUAUAUGUGUACUACUUAUCCAAGGUGCAGCCACAGACAGUAGGCCAUAUAUGCACGAAAGAGUAGAAUUACCUAAAUGCUGGUCAGUAGAGAGACUCAGGAGAGCAACAAUAAUUUUAAAGUCUUCCAGCUUGAAAUGUGUGUACUUAUUCAUCAGGUAAAAAAAUGAUUUUUCAGAAGCAAUGAUUUCCUUAAAAGCCACUAAUGGUAAACACAGUAUGCUGUAUGGCUGCAUUUAUUAUUAUUCUUGAAGAGGUUUAAGGUGGUCAGAAAUUAAAUAUCAGUGACAAAGCUGGAGCUUAAAUAAGGCAAGAGGCAGUUUUACUAUCAUAAUCAUGUUUCUGAAGAUGCACAUUGAGAAAGAGAUCAAGAUAAUUUUGUGAGAGGCUAGGCCAUUAAUUCUUUUGGAGUGCAGUUUUCCCUCCCAGAAAUGAUUAUUACACAUUCCUAAUAUACUUUCUCUAUUAAACAUGUCAGAAAUGCCAUUCCCUGGCAAUGCAGAUCUACAUACCUUUGUGUUGGCCUGUAUUUGAACACACCUAGUCGAUUCACAUCAUUUGUGUCCAGCCUAUGAUGCAAUGGAGGGAGAAGAUAAAGUGUGAUAUUAAAAAAAUCAUUUGAGGUGAUGCCUAAAUAGAGCAGGUUUCUAACUUAAAAGUAACUUAAUUGUGUACGCCUAGAAACUUGUGUCGUAUUUAGAAAUUCUUGAAAAGCAAAUGAUUUAUUUAUAUGUUUUUUUGCUCAAGUAGAAAUAUUUAAUAAAUAAAUAAAUAAAUAAAAAUUAACACACCAGAGUUCCCAUAGCUCUAGAAAUUCCUUUUAUUGCUGUUUAGGUAUUUUUGAGAUUUUCACUAGUAUGAUUUGUGUUGAGGAAUGCAUACAUUAGAAAGGACAAGUCUUUGUUGUUAUUGCUAGGCAUUUUCUGUCACAGAUAAAAGUGGUAUUGUGACUCCUUCUAUCAUGAACUAACAAAAUCUUUACAAACUAAGUCACUAGUGAUAGAAUUUUCAUUUUUUACCAUUGAAUGUGAAAUCUAAAUGUAAUUCAUUUCAUGACUGUUUAAAAACUGUUAUAUGACUUUGCUUAAAACUGCAUAAUUACUUGUGUAAUGCUCUGCCAAUUUUGUUUUUUUCAUUUAGUUUUGUUUUGCUGAGGGAUGAUAUUUAGUGUUUAUCAAAAGAUAUUGAAGUCAUUCCUUUGACUUCUGCUUGGCAGGAAGGUAUUGCUUUGGGAAAUGGUCCUCAUUAUUUCUUUGGAAAUAUUCCCAUGAAAAGAAUUUUGUGGCUUAUUUUCUGCAGUGUUGACAGCGGAGAAAACUUAAGAGUGCAUCAAAUGAUGGAGAAACUGUGGCUUCUGUUCAGUUAAAUAGUAUGUGGAAAAAAAUGGUAUACAAUACUAUUUUGAAAGUCAUUCAUUGGAUAUUGUUUCCUGUGAUAAUAUUAAACAGUGUGUUUCUUGACCAGGAAAUGUGUCCCAGAAGUUUCCAUUCUUGCUAGUGCACUUUUGGCAUUAAUAUGCAUCACCUUCAGCAUACAGAUUUGCAUUUGUGUAAAUUAUAUAUAGUGUUUUCAAGGUUGUGACACGUUUUUGAGUUGUCAGUGUCCAUUCUUUAGAUUACUGGGUUUUUCUCCUCCCAAGAAAAAGCCCACUUUUUCACCAGUUUUGUGGUGUUGUGUUUAUUUAUCGGAAAAUUUGCACGAAUUUCUUGCCAGUGCGAUCACAGCUUGUCACUAGUUAAAGAUAUAUGACUCUGCCUGUUUUGUCCAAAGUCUGUACAAAGUGUAGAUAACCUUCUGUGUCAAUUUUUUUUCGAUUGAAGUCAUGGGAGCUGGAAAUAGAAUUGCCUACCUGUAUCCUUGUACGUACUGUUACUGUGAUGAGACAGUUUGUCACAAACGUUUCAUUGACUUUACUUUUCUCUUCUGUGAUAUAAAUGAAACUAUGUGAAUAAGACUGUUGUACAGUCACAUGGCAUGUUCAUCUUUUUCUGCAGCGUCUGGAAUGAGUUUCUAAAAUGGUGGUUACACAAUAGCCAUGUGUCUAGAUUUGAAGUGUACGUGAAAAACCAUCAUGCACUUUUAGUAAAGACACAACUUUUUAUUUAUUUUAUUUUUUUUUUUAAUGAAAAGCGAUGUAGACUCGUCGUCAUUUUUUAAACAAAGUUGUAUUCAACGCUAUAAAUUUUGUAGCGUAAUGUCUCUUAAGGCAGUAGAAGUGUAUUUCUGUAUUUCUGCACACAUACACUUCCCCUCUUAUAAAAACAAAUAACAUGCUUGCAAACAUCUGUAGGAUUUAUGUUGACUAAUUGAAAAAGCCUAUACUAGAUGCCCUGGUUUAAAUAAUUCAUAAUUCAUGGUAUAGUUUCUAUGCUACCUGAUGCAUUUCUGUAGUUUCUUUUGGUGACCUUUGUGUAUGGCAUGAAAAAAGAUAUGUACAGUUGAUUAAGAUUAGUGCAGGGUUUCACUUGCACAUGUUCUUAGCCAUGAUUUGAAUUGCCUAUUGCUUGUUUGGUGAAACGGUGUGUGUUUAAAAGUAAGCAGUAAACAGAGCUGUUAGCGCAUUAUUUGACCUCAAAGGUCAAGAAACAUUGGUGGUGUUCAGCUUUUAGUUGGAAUUUAAGUAUGAGAUAGUGAAUCAGGCCAGAAUAUCAUAAAAAGCCAUCAUGAAAUGCAAUAAGUAAUAAGCAGAAGAUUCCUAGAUUUUGGUUCACCUAGUUUAUGAAAGGAGGAUCACUACAUUUAGCUUAUGUCUUUCUCAAAAUAUUGGCUAUGUUAUAUGUUACUUUAAUUAUCUCUGUUAAGGAAAGUGGUGCUAAAAACAGGUUAAUAGUUAAAGUGAGGCAAUAAGACUUGUUUUUCCUAGACACAUUGAUAAAAAAAAAAAUAACAGUGAGGCAGUAUUUACUAUCCAUAAAAAGCAAGGGGUUUUUUGACCCUCAGUUAAAGUUGGGGUUGUUUUGUUUUUUAGACUUACAGAUAUAAUUACAAGGAGUUUUAUGAUUACACAUCAAUGUGUAGGUGUUGAAUAUUAUGAUUUUGUCUAAUUCUCAAAAAGCUCAUCUAAUUAUUGGUGCCAUAUUUUUGCGCUUGUAAAAACUGCCACUGACAUUUAAAAAUAAGUUUCGACAAAAUAUCAGUUCUUGUAUUCAGGUUUAUUUUUAAAUUUCCUAAUUUUUUUUUUCAUUUCUUUGACCUCUAUUCUUAUGUUUAGAGACCUCCUGAAGCCAACUUUUUAUGUUCUCAGAUACCCAUGGCAGAUUUUCUUUGCGUUAUUUUAAUCUCUUUUGUGAGAUAUAACGCAGCAAGAAAGGGUGCCAUGAGGUGUUUUCAAACAAUAUGGAAAUAUUGUUAAAGUUGCUGAUGAUCCAGUAAGAAAUAACUGGAAAAGCGGUCAGGAUUUUUAACUGUUAAAAAUAACAAUUUUGAUAGGAAAGUGAAGAAGGACAAGCCAAAAGUAGUGAGUCCAAUGUGUGCACAGAUGUGCAAUUAACAAGCAUAUGACUGGGCUGAAUUAAGGCUGCGAAAAGAGUUAUCUGUUGUUGUUUUGUAUUUGCUCCUUUAUAUUCUUUAAUUUCAUCAGAUUUUUUCGGGUGAUGUAUGUUUAUUAGCUUGGAGAUAAUGCUUUCUAUCAUUGUCGAAGGCUUUUUGAUUGGAGUGCUAUGUUAGGAGAGGGAUGAUAGAAGGCAAAUAACAGACCUGUCUCCUAGUUAGACUGGCAUCCAGGAUGGCAAAGGCAGUUUCAUCUCUGAGAUAAAAUGUUCCAUAAUGCUGAAGAAGAUAGGCUAGACUUUGGUCCAGUAUCUGCUGUCAUUGCUGAGGACCUUUGCUCUUCAGGUAGUAAUUUGUGAUUUGGGUUUCAGGUUUAUUUAUAUGCAUGCCUGCAGGCCUCAUCUUCUUUUUUUUUUUUUUUUUUGUCUGUGUUGGUACCAGAUGGACAUGUGAUCGUUGGUGGCUCAAGCUUGUUUAUAGAUAGUAGAUGUUUUGUAGAUGACUGGAAAGUUUCUUUUCAGUAUCUUAAUUUAUCAUAUGGAAUGGGAGUGUGCAGGUUGUUGUUUGCCUAUGUUACCCAUUCAGUUUCUUGCACAAAUUUGCAUAUUUUCAAUUAUGAUGGUUAGCCUUUAGUUAUUCAAAAGUUUUUUUAUCUUAAUUAUAUCUCAUUAGGAAGAAAUCCUAUCAUUUUUUUGUAGUGUUUGCACUUACAUGUUAAAUUACAAAAUUUUGGUUAUGAUUCUUUUGGAGAAAUAGAUCCUAUAGGUUGAUUUGUGUUACAAAAUGCAAAUCCAGGAAUGGAAAUUCCCAUUCAUAUGUUUAUCUUUGUAACGAAACAAGCUCAGGGCUGGAACCCAUAGGGGUGGCGCAGGGUUGGGAGACCCAGACAGACAUGGAGGAGAUCGGUCCACAGUGAGGCAGAGGCAGCUGGCAUAACAUGAUCCCAACUGGAAAGGAAUGCCAGAACUGGAUCCGAUGGUGUUGUAAUUGUGGUCCUAUGCUCCACUGAGCAUGAAAAGGAAUAAUAAGAAGCUUAAUUUUGCAACAUCUGCGUUAGCAGACUUUCUUUUUUGUCAUGUUACUCCCCCAAAAAAGAAAAAAAACGCCAGCAAAAAUUUUGCAGCAUCAAAGUCUUAAACAAUAUGGUUGCCACUUUAGAAAUAACUACUGCUUGUAAGGAAUACAUUCUUUGUUUUGCAUUCCUUUUCUCAAGGAGGUUACCUAACUUUUGCAGUAUUGUAGUUAUAAUGUCCUCUUGGUAGUGGAUGCCUGUUGUGUGAAGCAUUGACCUUGCCAGAAGCAGUUUUUACAGUUUAGUAAGUGCUAGAGGAAGACAAUGGCCAUAAUCUUAAUGUAAGCUGGCAAAUAAAGUCAUCUGAUAACACCUGAGAAGUAUAUUGUGUGAUUGAUUUAUUAAUAGCUUGGUGUGGGCGAUGGAUUGGUACUAUUGGUCCAUGUGUGUGCAGGCAUACCGUUAUUUGGAAAUGAUUUAUUAGUAGCUUGAUAUGGGCGAUGGAUUGGUACUAAUAGUCCAUGUGUGUGUAGGCAUGCUAAUGAAUCCAGUGGCAUUUCAAUGAUUCAGCUUUAGAUGUGCAAUCAGUGUGACUUAUGAAAUAUUGUUAACUCUCUUAGCACCAGAUAAAAAUAUAACAUUACAAUGACUGGCUUAUAACUGAAGACUGUGAAGACGACAGUGGGUGAAGUCUGUUUUUAUUAUUGUUGCUCUGAGGAAAACAGACCAAGAACCCUAUACAUUUUAGGAAAGGAGAAAACUUGAACUUUGCAGUAAAAGUAAUGAAAAUCGCCUUCCCAAUGCUUCUUGGCAAAGCCGCAAUCAUGAUCCAUCGUGCUAAGAGGGUUAAGCAAAAUUAGUGUUAGAGAUCAAGCUGAACAUCUUUAUUUCAGUUUUUUUUUUUUUUUUUAAACAAUUAGAAACCUUUUAAUUCUGAGAAAUUGCAGGGGUGUGUAUGAGAAUAUUUCAGCUAUGGUUAUGUUGUAGGCUGAAUUCUGAGAGCUUAUUGACUGUGCUUGCUUGUUGCUUAAGAUUCUGAAUGCUGAACUUCAUCUUAUGUGCAUGAAUGAGUCUUCUAAAAUUAUGGAUUGGUCAGUAUACAUAAUUACACCAAUAAAAUGUUGAAUGGUGGUUUUGGCAAUCAGAUGCCUGUCACCUGUGAAACCGAAAAAAAUGAGUUGAUGAAAUCAUAGCAUUAGUUAUAGGAAUUCUUUUUUUAAUAAUCUGAAAAUGAACUUGCAUUUUAGUCUUUUUUUUUCCAGUCUGGUGUUAUUUUAUGUGCAGACAUGUUGAGUUUAUUCAAUCAAAUGUCUUUAUUUGUCUGUAAGGAGUACAUUAUUUGUUAAAGACCUUUAAAGAACAUAAGAUUCACUCUGACUUGGUGGUAUUAUCAUAAAGACAUUUCAGAUCUGGAAGUCUUUGUCUCAUCUCGCUUUGCUUUGGAGGUCAAGAGCUGCUUGUUACCUUUAGACAAUAUAUUUGUUGAAGCUUUCGAGUUUAAAUCUGACAAUGUAUCCCCAACCAGUGAAGUGGAUUUUUUUGGCACUUUUUUAAUAGAAUUAAAAUUAUUACAUUCAUUAAUACAAUGAUGGUGUAGUGAAAUGCUGUGUUCAGUAGCCCUGCCUGUUAGGCUUUUUUAUUGCGCAAAUAUAUGGAUAUUAUCAUAGAUAAUGAAAUAAAUUUGUUCAGGCUUUUUUCAAAACAGUUUGUUUCGAUUUGAUUCCGACUGAAAAACUUUAUGCCCAAAAUUUUGUUAAACUUUUUUAAAAUGCACAAUAAAAAGCAGCUUUUAUGUGAGAAUGCAGACAUAGAAGUAGUAUCAAAUCAAGAAGAAAAUGUGAUUUUACGUAAAAUGUGUGGUUUAUGUGCUUAGGUUACUCAGAACUGCCAGUUCUGCAGAUGGUAAUUUUAUGCCAGAUAUUCAUGUACUUAAUGAUUUAAAAACUCAUUUCUUUUGGGGGAAAAAUUGUUCUCUGUUCUACUUCUUUGCUUGAGCAAAGUUUUUAAAGCUGGGUAUUUUGAUGGUGACCAAUGGAUGCGUGUAACUUCCAUAUCCACUGGCUUUCUAGGUACCCUUUUGCUUCACGUCAUAUUAACAGGAUUAAAAAGGCAGCCAACUAUUGUAUGAUCAAAGAAUGUGCAUAAUUGUGGAUUUUUCUGUACAGUUUCUGAAGUGGGGGAAAAGAGAAGGCCUUUAAUUGUUUCCAUAUUCUGAUCAAAUUACAAACAUUCGAUCGUAAAUCCCUAGUUUGCUAUUAAAAAACCCCACUGUAUACAAAUUUAAGGUUUAAAUAAUUUAAAGGGCAUCUGUCAAAUUUAGAAGAUAGUAAUAAUUUUUACAGAUGUGCCUGAAAGGAAGGGAAGCAGAACUUUGCAAGGGCUACGGCAAGCUCAGACCUCCCAAGAAAGGCUUGUUCAAGAUUAUGCAAUACAAAGUAUAUUGUUUAAUACCCCAUUUGUGGAAAUGACAUGAUGUAAUGUCACAGAUUGUAUUUUCCAUUAUUGAAGUCAGAAUUGUUCUUUGUAAUUAAUGAAACAUGUUCAAACAUUGUCUUCAGGUCAAAUAAGAUUUUAAUCAUAAAUGCUUAUAAAAUAGUAACUACUGUAUCAUAA
rnacentral:misc_RNA from 1 species